rnacentral:misc_RNA from 1 species
GAUGAAGAACGCAGUGAAAUGCGAUAAUUAAUGUGAAUUGCAGAAUUCAGUGAAUCAUCGAGUCUUUGAACGCACAUUGCGCCCCCUGGUAUUCCGGGGGGCAUGCCUGUCCGAGCGUCAUUGCUGCCCUCAAGCACGGCUUGUGUGUUGGGCUUCCGUCCCUGGCAACGGGGACGGGCCCAAAAGGCAGUGGCGGCACCAUGUCUGGUCCUCGAGCGUAUGGGGCUUUGUCACCCGCUCCCGUAGGUCCAGCUGGCAGCUAGCCUCGCAACCAAUCUUUUUAACCAGGUUGACCUCGGAUCAGGUAGGGAUACCCGCUGAACUUAAGCAUAUCAAGCGGAGGA